UGGCAAAGGUGUGUUGGCUAAUGUGUCUUGGCUAACGUGUCUUGGCUAAGGUGUCUUGGCUAAGGUGUCUUGGCUAAGGUGUCUUGGCUAAUGUGUCUUGGCUAAGGUGUCUUGGCUAAGGUGUCUUGGCUAAGGUGUCUCGGCUAAUGUGUCUUGGCUAAUGUGUCUUGGCUAAUGUGUCUUGGCUAAUGUGUCUUGGCUAAGGUGUCUUGGCUAAGGUGUCUCGGCUUAUGUGUCUUGGCUAAGGUGUCUUGGCUAAGGUGUCUUGGCUAAGGUGUCUUGGCUAAUGUGUCUUGGCUAAUGUGUCUUGGCUAAUGUGUCUUGGCUAAUGUGUCUUGGCUAAGGUGUCUUGGCUAAGGUGUCUUGGCUAAUGUGUCUUGGCUAAUGUGUCAUGGCUAAUGUGUCUCGGCUAAUGUGUCUUGGCUAAUGUGUCUUGGCUAAUGUUUCUUUGCUAAGGUGUCUUGGCUAAGGUGUCUUGGCUAAGGUGUCUUGGCUAAUAUGUCUUGGCUAAGGUGUCUUGGCUAAGGUGUCUUGGCUAAGGUGUCUCGGCUAAUGUGUCUUGGCUAAUGUGUCUUGGCUAAGGUGUCUUGGCUAAGGUGUCUUGGCUAAUGUGUCUUGGCUAAGGUGUCUUGGCUAACAUGUCUUGGCUAAGGUGUCUCGGCUAAUGUGUCUUGGCUAAUGUGUCUUGGCUAAUGUGUCUUGGCUAAUGUGUCUUGGCUAAGGUGUCUUGGCUAAUGUGUCUUGGCUAAGGUGUCUUGGCUAAGGUGUCUUGGCUAAUGUGUCUUGGCUAAGGUGUCUUGGCUAAUGUGUCUUGGCUAAGGUGUCUUGGCUAAUGUGUCUUGGCUAAUGUGUCUUGGCUAAGGUGUCUUGGCUAAGGUGUCUUGGCUAAGGUGUCUCGGCUUAUGUGUCUUGGCUAAUGUGUCUUGGCUAAGGUGUCUUGGCUAAUGUGUCUUGGCUAAUGUGUCUUGGCUAAGGUGUCUUGGCUAAUGUGUCUCGGCUAAUGUGUCUUGGCUAAGGUGUCUUGGCUAAUGUGUCUUGGCUAAGGUGUCUUGGCUAAGGUGUCUUGGCUAAUGUGUCUUGGCUAAGGUGUCUUGGCUAAUGUGUCUUGGCUAAUGUGUCUUGGCUAACAUGUCUUGGCUAAGGUGUCUCGGCUAAUGUGUCUUGGCUAAUGUGUCUUGGCUAAUGUGUCUUGGCUAAUGUGUCUUGGCUAAUGUGUCUUGGCUAAGGUGUCUUGGCUAAUGUGUCUCGGCUAAUGUGUCUUGGCUUAGGUGUCUUGGCUAAUGUGUCUUGGCUAAGGUGUCUUGGCUAAGGUGUCUUGGCUAAUGUGUCUCGGCUAAUGUGUCUUGGCUAAGGUGUCUUGGCUAAUGUGUCUUGGCUAAGGUGUCUUGGCUAAUGUGUCUUGGCUAAGGUGUCUUGGCUAAUGUGUCUUGGCUAAUGUGUCUUGGCUAAGGUGUCUUGGCUAAGGUGUCUUGGCUAAUGUGUCUUGGCUAAUGUGUCUUGGCUAAUGUGUCUUGGCUAAGGUGUCUUGGCUAAGGUGUCAUGGCUAAUGUGUCUUGGCUAAUGUGUCUUGGCUAAGGUGUCUUGGCUAAUGUGUCUUGGCUAAUGUGUCUUGGCUAAUGUGUCUUGGCUAAGGUGUCUUGGCUAAGGUGUCUUGGCUAAGUUGUCUUGGCUAAUGUGUCUUGGCUAAUGUGUCUUGGCUAAUGUGUCUUGGCUAAGGUGUCUUGGCUAAGGUGUCUUGGCUAAGGUGUCUCGGCUAAUGUGUCUUGGCUAAUGUGUCUUGGCUAAUGUGUCUUGGCUAAUGUGUCUUGGCUAAUGUGUCUUGGCUAAGGUGUCUUGGCUAAUGUGUCUCGGCUAAUGUGUCUUGGCUAAUGUGUCUUGGCUAAUGUGUCUUGGCUAAUGUGUCUUGGCUAAGGUGUCUUGGCUAAUGUGUCUUGGCUAAGGUUUCCUCGCUAAGGUGUCUUGGCUAAUGUGUC